GACGAACGCUGGCGGCGUGCCUAAUACAUGCAAGUAGAACGCUUAAGAGAGGAGCUUGCUCUUCUUGGGUGAGUUGCGAACGGGUGAGUAACGCGUAGGUAACUUGCCUUGUAGCGGGGGAUCACUAUUGGAAACGAUAUCUAAUACCGCUUAACAAUGGGUUACACAUGUCAUUUAAUUGAAAGGGGCAAUUGUUCCACUACAAUAUGGUCCUGCGUUGUGUUAGCUAGUAGGUGAGGUAAUGGCUCACCUAGGCGGAGAUACAUAGCCGGACUGGGGGGGUGAUCGGCCAAACUGGGACUGGGACACGGGCCAGACUCCUACGGGGGGCAGCAGUAGGGAAUAAUCGGCAAUGGGGGGAAAGCUGGACGAGCAAAGCCGCGUGAGUGGAGAAGGGUCUCGGAUCGGAAAGGUAUGUUGUAAGUCGAGAAAGGGUGGGAGGGUGGAAAGUUCACAUUGUGACGGUAGCAUACGAGAAAGGAACGGCUAACUACGUG
rnacentral:rRNA from 1 species